UACGAAGGGGGCUAGCGUUGCUCGGAAUCACUGGGCGUAAAGGGUGCGUAGGCGGGUCUUUAAGUCAGGGGUGAAAUGCUGCGGCUCAACCGUAGAACUGCCUUAGAUACUGACGGCCUUGAGGAAGGUAGGGGCAUGCGGAACUGUAGGUGGAGCGGUGAAAUGCGUUGAUAUCUACAGGAACUCCGGUGGCGAAAGCGGCGUGCUGGACCUUUUCUGACGCUGAGGCGCGAAAGCUAGGGGAGCAAACGGG
rnacentral:rRNA from 1 species